UGGGUAAUAUUGGACAAUGGGCGCAAGCCUGAUCCAGCCAUGCCGCGUGAGUGAUGAAGGCCUUAGGGUUGUAAAGCUCUUUCAGUGGGGAAGAUAAUGACGGUACCCACAGAAGAAGCCCCGGCUAACUUCGUGCCAGCAGCCGCGGUAAUACGAAGGGGGCUAGCGUUGUUCGGAUUUACUGGGCGUAAAGCGCACGUAGGCGGAUUGUUAAGUCGGGGGUGAAAUCCCAGGGCUCAACCCUGGAACUGCCUUCGAUACUGGCAAUCUCGAGUCCGGAAGAGGUGAGUGGAACUCCUAGUGUAGAGGUGGAAUUCGUAGAUAUUAGGAAGAACACCAGUGGCGAAGGCGGCUCACUGGUCCGGAACUGACGCUGAGGUGCGAAAGCGUGGGGAGCAAACA
rnacentral:rRNA from 1 species